UACGUAGGGUGCAAGCGUUGUCCGGAAUCAUUGGGCGUAAAGAGCGUGUAGGCGGCUCGAUUAGUCCGCUGUAAAAGUCCAGGGCUCAACCCUGGGAUGCCGGUGGAAACUGUCGGGCUAGAGUCCGGGAGAGGCGAGUGGAAUUCCUGGUGUAGCGGUGAAAUGCGCAGAUAUCAGGAGGAACACCAAUGGCGAAGGCAGCUCGCUGGAACGGUACUGACGCUGAGACGCGAAAGCGUGGGGAGCAAACCGG
rnacentral:rRNA from 1 species